UACAGAGGGGGCAAGCGUUGUUCGGAAUUACUGGGCGUAAAGAGCGCGUAGGCGGCCUGCUAAGUCGAACGUGAAAUCCCCGAGCUCAACUCGGGAACUGCGUCCGAUACUGACAGGCUUGAAUCCGGGAGAGGGAUGCGGAAUUCCAGGUGUAGCGGUGAAAUGCGUAGAUAUCUGGAGGAACACCGGUGGCGAAGGCGGCAUCCUGGACCGGCAUUGACGCUGAGGCGCGAAAGCUAGGGGAGCAAACGGG
rnacentral:rRNA from 1 species